GCAUUGGUUGUUCAGUGGUAGAAUUCUCGCUUUCCAUGCGAGAGGUCCGGGUUCGAUUCCCGGCCAAUGCA